UGGGGGAUAUUGCACAAUGGGCGAAAGCCUGAUGCAGCGACGCCGCGUGGGGGAUGAAGGCCUUCGGAUUGUAAACUUCUUUUGCUCUGAACAAGGCAUGCUAAUGGGUGUGUUGAGUGUAGGGGUUGAUUAGCGCCGGCUAACUACGUGCCAGCAGCCGCGGUAAUACGUAGGGCGCGAGCGUUGUCCGGAAUUAUUGGGCGUAAAGGGCUUGUAGGUGGCUGGUUGCGUCUGUCGUGAAAGCUCAUGGCUUAACUGUGGGUUUGCGGUGGGUACGGGCUGGCUUGAGUGCAGUAGGGGAGGCUGGAAUUCCUGGUGUAGCGGUGGAAUGCGCAGAUAUCAGGAGGAAUACCGGUGGCGAAGGCGGGUCUCUGGGCUGUUACUGACACUGAGGAGCGAAAGCAUGGGGAGCGAACAGG
rnacentral:rRNA from 1 species